CCCAGACUCCUACGGGAGGCAGCAGUGGGGAAUAUUGCACAAUGGGGGGAACCCUGAUGCAGCGACGCCGCGUGGGUGAAGGAGCGUUUCGGCGCGUAAAGCCCUAUCGGCAGGGAAGAAGGAGGACGGUACCUGACUAAGAAGCCCCGGCUAACUACGUGCCAGCAGCCGCGGUAAUACGUAGGGGGCAAGCGUUAUCCGGAUUUACUGGGUGUAAAGGGGGCGCAGACGGCAGCGCAAGCCAGGAGUGAAAGCCCGGGGCCCAACCCCGGGACUGCUCUUGGAACUGCGCGGCUGGAGUGCAGGAGGGGCAGGCGGAAUUCCUGGUGUAGCGGUGAAAUGCGUAGAUAUCAGGAGGAACACCGGUGGCGAAGGCGGCCUGCUGGACUGCGACUGACGUUGAGGCCCGAAAGCGUGGGGAGCAAACAGGAUUAGAUACCCUCGUACA
rnacentral:rRNA from 1 species